rnacentral:lncRNA from 1 species
CAGGGGUUGUAGUCCAUAGAUAGCUGGCUUCAUUCCUUAGGGCUUGAGGUGAGGCAGGACAUCAUGGUGGAAGAGUGUAAUGGAGGGAGGUGGCUUAAGAUAUCACACUAUGAAGCGGAGAGAGAUUCCACUCAUUAAAUAAAAAUAUGUACCCCAAAGGCAUGGCCCCCAUGCCUGCCUCCUCCAGACACUCCAUGUCUGCCUUCAGUUACCACGACUCCAUUGCGUCACCUCUAAACCUUUCUGCAUUGUCUUAUACAUGAGCUUUUGGGGAACACCUAAUAUCUUAACCAUAACAGAGGAGGAACUGGAAUUUGAGAAUGGGGGCAGCUCUUCUGAGACUGGAGGUAUGACAGGUUAGUGGUAACAGGGAUGGGGAGUUGAGAGAUUUCUGAACUUCCUCCUGAGGAAGGCUGUGGCUCUGGAAAGGAGAGAGCAAGGGAGUCCUCUUGCAGGAGCUGGGGUGAGGCGGGUGAUAGGAU